GGAGGGGAGUAGGAUGGACGAACGCCCUCUUAUUGACGAUAGUCGACGUAUGGUGCGAGAUUGCAGGGAGUGUCAGGUGGUACAUGUAUAUAGGUAGGCAAAUAGGGCCGCCGACUAGGUUGCCCCCUAUGCAGCGCAGCAUACUGGGGAGGUCCUUCGGACGCAUCAGGGGACCUCUCCUCCACAGUUAUGCCAUUUUGUAGCUCUUGACUCUGCUGGCUGCACUUAUACUUGGGUAGGGUGAGCAGCCGUUGUACCAA
rnacentral:lncRNA from 1 species